rnacentral:rRNA from 1 species
GAUUCAUGAUAACUUCUCGAAUCGCACGGCCUUGCGCCGGCGAUGGUUCAUUCAAAUUUCUGCCCUAUCAACUUUCGAUGGUUGGGUCUUGGCCCACCAUGGUGACAACGGGUAACGGAGGGUUAGGGCUCGACCCCGGAGAAGGAGCCUGAGAAACGGCUACUACAUCCAAGGAAGGCAGCAGGCGCGCAAAUUACCCAAUCCCGACACGGGGAGGUAGUGACGAGAAAUACUGAUACAGGGUUCUUUUGGAUCUUGUAAUUGGAAUGAGUACAAUUUAAAUCCCUUAACGAGGAACAAUUGGAGGGCAAGUCUGGUGCCAGCAGCCGCGGUAAUUCCAGCUCCAAUAGCGUAUAUUAAAGUUGUUGCGGUUAAAAAGCUCGUAGUUGAACCUUGGGCCUGACCGGCCGGUCCGCCUCACCGCGUGCACUGGUUCGGUUGGGCCUUUCCCUCUGAGGAACCGCAUGUCCUUCACUGGGCGUGUCGGGGAACCAGGACUUUUAC